UACGUAGGGGGCGAGCGUUGUCCGAAGUUACUGGGCGUAAAGCGCACGUAGGCGGUUAUCUAAGUCUGGGGUGAAAGGUUCAGUGCUUAACGCGAACAGUGCCUUGGAGACUGGAUGACUUGAGUUUGGGAGAGGGUAGUGGAAUGGCUGGUGUAGCGGUGAAAUGCGUAGAUAAUUCGCAAGAACACCAGUGGUCGAAGGCGGCUCACUGGCCCGAUACUGACGCUGAGGCACGAAAGCGUGGGGAGCAAACAGGAUUAGAUACCCGU
rnacentral:rRNA from 1 species